rnacentral:misc_RNA from 1 species
GAUGAAGAACGUAGCGAAAUGCGAUACUUGGUGUGAAUUGCAGAAUCCCGUGAACCAUCGAGUCUUUGAACGCAAGUUGCGCCCGAAGCCAUUAGGCCGAGGGCACGCCUGCCUGGGCGUCACACGUCGUUGCCCCCCCAUCUACUCCUUCGGGAUUGCGGGGGGCGGAUGAUGGCCUCCCGUGCGCCUCGUCGCGCGGUUGGCCUAAAUGCCAAGUCCUCGGCGACGCACGCCACGACAAUCGGUGGUUGCGAAACCUCGGUUGCCCGUCGUGUGCGGUCGUCGCGCAUCGAGGGCUCGAAAAAAUUGCCGGGCUUCGGCUCGACUUUCAACGCGACCCCAGGUCAGGCGGGGUUACCCGCUGAAUUUACGCAUAUCAAUAAGCGGAGGA